GUGGGGAAUAUUGGACAAUGGGCGAAAGCCUGAUCCAGCCAUGCCGCGUGUGUGAAGAAGGUCUUCGGAUUGUAAAGCACUUUAAGUUGGGAGGAAGGGCAGUAAGUUAAUACCUUGCUGUUUUGACGUUACCGACAGAAUAAGCACCGGCUAACUUCGUGCCAGCAGCCGCGGUAAUACGAAGGGUGCAAGCGUUAAUCGGAAUUACAGGGCGUAAAGCGCGCGUAGGUGGUUUUGUAAGUUGGAGGUGAAAUCCCCGGGCUCAACCUGGGAACUGCCUCCAAAACUGCAUGACUAGAGUACGGUAGAGGGUAGUGGAAUUUCCUGUGUAGCGGUGAAAUGCGUAGAUAUAGGAAGGAACACCAGUGGCGAAGGCGACUACCUGGACUGAUACUGACACUGAGGUGCGAAAGCGUGGGGAGCAAACAGGAUUAGAAACCCGGGUAGUCC
rnacentral:rRNA from 1 species